GCUUAUCACCAUUCCAGAUUGAAUAUACCCGAUCUCGUCUGAUCUCGGAAGUCAAGCAAUCUCCGGCUUGGUUAG
rnacentral:rRNA from 1 species